rnacentral:piRNA from 1 species
UUAAAUGACUAGAAUUUCACGUGUACA